GUGCAAAUGGAAAGGGAGUAAACGAAUCAUUUUCUGCAUUUACUUCCUGUGUAGAGUUAAUGCUUCAAUUUCCAUUUGGCUGUAGACACACGUUUUCUUCUUUUCUUCUUUUCUUUUUUUCUUUUUCUUUUUUCUUUUCCUUUCUUUUUUCCUCUUCUUCUCUCUCUUUUCUCUUUUCUUUUCUUUUCUUUCUUUUCUUCUCUUUUCUUGUCUUUUCUUCUUUUCUAUUCUAUUCUUUUCUUUUUCUUUUCUUUUUUUCUUUUCUUUUUUCUUUUCUUUUCUUUUUUCUUUUCUUUUUCUUCUUGUCUUUUCCGUUUCCUUUCCUUUCUUUUCAUACUUUCCUUUCUUUCCUUUCUUUCCUUUCUUUUCCUUUCUUUUCCUUUCUUUUUUCCUUUCUUCUUUUCCAUAAUUCGUUUUUUCUUUCUUUAUCUCCCUUUCUUUUUUCUUUCUUUUCCUUUCUUUUCCUUUCUUUUUUUCUUUCCUUUUCUUUUUUUCCUUUCUUUUUUCCUUUUUUUUUUUUUUCCUUUCUUUUCCUUUCUCCCUUCCCUUCCCUUCCUCCCUUCCCUUCCCUUCCCUUCCCUUCCUUCCUUCCCUUCCCUUCCCUUCCUUCCCUUCCCUUCCUUCCUUCCCUUCCCUUCCCUUCCCUUCCCUUCCCUUCCCCUUCCCUUCCCUUCCCUUCCCUUUCCUUUUCCCUUUCCUUUCCCCUUUCCUUUCCCUUUCCCUUCCCUUUCCCUUUCCCUUUCCUUUUCCCUUUCCUUUUCCUUUUUCCUUUUCUUUUCCUUUUCCUUUUCCUUUUCCUUUUCCUUUUCCUUUCCUUUCCUUUUUCCUUUUCUGUAUACUUUCCUUUCCUUUACACUUUCAUUUCAAUUCCUAUUUUUAAACUUAGCCUCUCCUUUCAUUUAUACUUUCCUUUCCUUUCCUACUUACCUUUGCUUUCCUUUCUUUCCUUUCCUUUUCUUCCUUUUUUUCUUCUUUUCUUUUCUUUUUUUUUCCUUUUCCGCUUCUCCUUUACUUUUCCUUUUCCCUUUCUCUUUUCCUUUUCCCUUUUCCUUUUUCCUUUUCCUUUUCCUUUUCCCUUCCUUUUCCUUUUCCUUUCCUUUCCUUUUCCUUUUCAGGAAUUUCAGGAAUGCUGAGUCACAGAACAAGCCUAUCUAGUUGAAGGAAUAACCAGUUGUUCGAUUGCGCAUCCUUUACCUUAAAACCAUUUGAAUUGAAGAUAAAGAGAACUAAAGGGGGAAAGGAAAAUAUGAAAUGCACGUCAUGCUGUUUUGGUUAGAUUUGGUUUGAGUUUUUUUCUUUGUGUUCAGAGUUAGAGCAGCAACCAUUUGUUGUUAUUUUAGUCUCCUUGGGGAGGAAUUCUAUG
rnacentral:lncRNA from 1 species